UGGGGGAUAUUGCACAAUGGGCGAAAGCCUGAUGCAGCGACGCCGCGUGGGGGAUGAAGGCUUUCGGGUUGUAAACCUCUUUCGCUAUCGAACAAGGCCCGCUUAGGGUGGGUUGAGGGUAGGUGGAGAAGAAGCGCCGGCUAACUACGUGCCAGCAGCCGCGGUAAUACGUAGGGCGCGAGCGUUGUCCGGAAUUAUUGGUCGUAAAGGGCUUGUAGGCGGCUUGUUGCGCCUGCUGUGAAAACGCGGGGCUUAACUUCGCGCGUGCAGUGGGUACGGGCAGGCUUGAGUGUGGUAGGGGUGACUGGAAUUCCAGGUGUAGCGGUGGAAUGCGCAGAUAUCUGGAGGAACACCGAUGGCGAAGGCAGGUCACUGGGCCAUUACUGACGCUGAGGAGCGAAAGCAUGGGUAGCGAACAGG
rnacentral:rRNA from 1 species